rnacentral:rRNA from 1 species
UCGAGAAUUUUUCUCAAUGGGGGAAACCCUGAAGGAGCGACGCCGCGUGGAGGAUGAAGGUCUUCGGAUUGUAAACUCCUGUCAUUUGGGAACAAUUGCAUUCGGUUAACUGCCGAGUGUUUGAUAGUACCAGAAGAGGAAGGGACGGCUAACUCUGUGCCAGCAGCCGCGGUAAUACAGAGGUCCCGAGCGUUGUUCGGAUUCAUUGGGCGUAAAGGGUGCGUAGGCGGCGGGGCAAGUCGGAUGUGAAAUCCCGGGGCUCAACCCUGGAACUGCAUUCGAUACUGCCUUGCUUGAGUACUGGAGAGGGAACUGGAAUUUACGGUGUAGCAGUGAAAUGCGUAGAUAUCGUAAGGAAGACCAGUGGCGAAGGCGAGUUCCUGGACAGUUACUGACGCUGAGGCACGAAGGCCAGGGGAGCAAACGGG